rnacentral:lncRNA from 1 species
GCCUAUCAGCGGCGAGUGGAGUAGCGACGGGCACCCAGCGAAGCCAAUCAGAGAUGGAAGUAGUGCUCUGAGGGUGGGCGCCGCUUGGUACCACCCUCCUCGCCCUCGGUGUCCUGGAGAAAGGCGGAAGGAAUGCGGACCUUUUUGAAGUGACGGACGCGCCAGCCUAUCAGGGGCGAGCUCAAGAGGGCGGGGCGGAAGACUGCAGGAAUGAAAUGGAUUGACAGACCAAAUAACUAAUGAGAGGCUUGAUUGAGAACCUACCCGACUAUCAGAGGACCUGUCCGGGAAGAGAAAUGGGGCUACGUCCAGACAGAAUCUCGCUCUGUUGCCUGGGCUGGAGUGCAGUGGCACUGUAUCCGGAAUUGGGGGGUUCUUGGUCUCACUGACUUCAAGAAUGAAGCCAUGGACCCUUGCGGUAAGUGUUCCAGCUCUUAAGGUGGCGCGUCUGGAGUUUGUUUCUUCUGAUGUUCAGGUGUGUUCAGCGUUUCUUCCUUCUGGUGGGUUCAUGGUUUCACUGGCUCAGGAGUGAAGCUGCAGACCUUCGCAGUGAGUGUUACAGCUCAUAAAAGCAGUGGGGACCCAAAGAGUGAGCAGUACAAGAUUUAUUGCAAAGAGCAAAAGAACAAAGCUUCCACAGUGUGGAAGGGGACCCAAGUGGGUUGCCACUGCUGGCUCGGGCAGCCUGCUUUUAUUCUCUUAUCUGGCCCCACCCACAUCCUGCUGAUUGGUAGAGCCCACUGGUCUGUUUUGACAGGGCGCUGAUUGGUGCGUUUACAAUUCCUGAGCUAGACACAAAGGUUCUCCACAUCCCCACCAGAUUAACUAGAUACAGAGUGUCAACACAAAGGUUCUCCAAGGCCCCACCACAGUAGCUAGAUACAGAGUGUCGAUUGGUGCAUUCACAAACCCUGAGCUAGACACAGGGUGCUGAUUGGUGUGUUUACAAACCUUGAGCUAGAUACAGAGUGCCGAUUGGUGUAUUUACAAUCCCUGAGCUAGACAUAAAGGUUCUCCAAGGCCCCACCAGAGUAGCUAGAUACAGAGUGUUCAUUGGUGCAUUCACAAACCCUGAGCUAGACAUAGGGUGAUGAUUGGUGUAUUUACAAUCCCUGAGCUAGACAAAGGUUCUCCACGUCCCCACCAGACUCAGGAGCCCAGCUAGCUUCACCCAGUGGAUCCUGCACCGGGGCUGCAGGUGGAGCUGCCUGCCAGUCCCACGCCGUGCGCCUGCACUCCUCAGCCCUUGGGUGGUGGAUGGGACUGGGCACCAUGGAGCAUGGGGCAGUGCUCGUCAGGGAGGCGCGGGCCGCACAGGAGCCCAUGGAGGGGGUGGGAGGCUCAGGCAUGGCGGGCUGCAGGUCCCGAUCCCUGCCCCGCGGGAAGGCAGCUAAGGCCUGGUGAGAAAUCAAGCGCAGCGCCGGUGCGCUGGCACUGCUGGGGGACCCAGUACACCCUCCGCAGCCGCUGUCCGGCCCGGGUGCUAAGCCCCUCAUUGCCCGGGGCCAGCAGGGCCGGACGGCUGCUCUGAGUGCAGGGUCCGCCAAGCCCACGCCCACCCGGAACUCCAGCUGGCCCACAAGCACCGCGCGCAGCCCCGAUUCCGGCUCGCGCCUCUCCCUCCACACUUCCCUGCAAGCUGAGGGAGCCAGCUCCGGCCUUGGCCAGCCCAGAAAGGGGCUCCCACAGUGCAGCGGUGGGCUGAAGGGCUCCUGAAGUGCCGCCACAGUGGGAGCCCAGGCAGAGGAGUCGCAGAGAGUGAGCGAGGGCUGUGAGGACUGCCAGCACGCUGUCACCUCUCAGCGCCAUCUCGGCUCACUGCAACCUCCACCUCCUGGGUUCAAGCAAUUCUCCGGCCUCAGCCUCCUGAGUAGCUGGGAUUAUAGAGAUGGGGGUUCCACCAUGUUGGCCCGGCUGGUCUCGAACUGCUGACCUCAAGUGACCUGCCUGUCUCGGCCUCACAAAUGGCUGGGAUUACAGGCACGAGACACCGUGCCUGGCCCUGGGAACAUGUUUACAUGGACUUUGUUCACUUUUUAAAACAAACUGAGGGUAACUUACUAGAUCUGUGAACUAAAGAAAGAGAAAAAAAAGAAAGAAAACAAA